rnacentral:rRNA from 1 species
GGGCCCGCACAAGCGGUGGAGUAUGUGGUUUAAUUCGAUGCAACGCGAAGAACCUUACCAGGGUUUGACAUCCUGCGAAUCUCUUGGAAACGAGAGAGUGCCUUCGGGAGCGCAGUGACAGGUGGUGCAUGGCUGUCGUCAGCUCGUGUCGUGAGAUGUUGGGUUAAGUCCCGCAACGAGCGCAACCCACGUCUUUAGUUGCCAGCAUUUAGUUGGGCACUCUAAAGAGACUGCCGGUGAUAAGCCGGAGGAAGGUGGGGACGACGUCAAGUCCUCAUGGCCCUUACGGGAUGGGCUACACACGUGCUACAAUGGCAGUGACAAUGGGUUAAUCCCCAAAAACUGUCUCAGUUCGGAUUGAGGUCUGAAACUCGACCUCAUGAAGUCGGAAUCGCUAGUAAUCG